ACUGAAAAGGGUCAAAAGGGAAAAUCGAAAGUUUUUCCCAUAGCCCCCAUGUGUGUAGUAGAGAGGAAGCAGUCGACGUUUCAUCAAAUUUUCCAGACCUCCAGCCCUCACAUUCCAUUGCCCGUGACUCGUGGAGCGCUGUCGCUCGUUGAACGAUGAUCUUCGCCGCCGAUUGUCAUAAUUGUUUGACCAGUCAGUGUUCCUCUCUCUUUUUUUUUUCUCUCUCAGCCAAUUGGGUUGCAAAUCGGACGCCACCCCUCGCCCCUCACCACCUUACGUCAUCGUUGAUCCAGCACUGCUGAUUGCACAACCACGUCCCCCGACAGUCUCUCCUCCGUUUACCUCGCGCCGGAUCUCUCUCUCCCUAUCUUUAGCAAGUCGCCAUGAGUCGCUGCCGCCUCUUUGGAUAGGACGCCGACAAGCGUUGAUCAUUUCUUUCACCAAUCUGUCGUUUGGAGAUUUGAAGUAUAGAUUUCAAUUUUUGGAAGUCGUUGGGGCGUUGUCCAGCGUUAUAAAGAUCGACUUUUUGUGGAUUUUGGUUGAGUUUUUGGAUUGAAGCUUGAGGUGGUUUUGGGUCGAGCCUCACUUUUGAUAAGUUCAUCGGAGUCAUUUUAAUAAAUUUGAUUAAUUGGAAUUAGACCCUAAAGGUUUAAUAGGUUUAAUUUAACUUUGGUUUACUAUUUUAGGUUUUGGAUUAAAGUUUUGUUUUGCAAGGAGAAGAUAAGCUUGCUUGAGUAUUUAUUGUUUGAACUUAGUUCUAAGGUAAGUAAUCUUGCUAUUAAAAUUGCCUUCGUGUCGGUUGACGUAAUUAGAAUAUUAUUAUUUCCCUAAGGUUAUUUGUAUGUUUUUCUUUAGUAUAGAGGAUGUAUGAGCAUGAUGUUAUAUUGUUAAGUAUGUUAUGAUGAAGUAUGAGCAUGGUGUUGAUUUUAUAAGUUAUAAUAUGAAAAUGUAUGAGCAUGAUGUUGAUUUUAUAAGUUAUAAUAUGAGAAUGUAUGAGUAUGAUGUUAUAUUUCCAUGCAAUGGGCCUUUGUUUAAUAUGUAUGAUAAAUAUGUUAGUGAUAAUUGCCUCCUAGUUGUAGUCAUGUAUCCACUAGAGGCUUGUGUUUUUUUUAGGAUUUACCAGAGGUUUGUGUUUCCUUUGGAAUUCAUCAAAGGUUGUGUUUUCUUCGGGGAUUCACCAGAGGUUUGUGAUUUCCUUCGGGUCUGCACCAAAGGUUAGUGAUUUCAUUCGGGUUUUAACUAGAGGUUUGUGGGUACAUCUCAUCUAUAAUAAGGCAAGUUCAACUAAUCACCUGAUGACCAUCCAUGAUUGGUAGAGGUCUUUACACGUCCCACUAAAAUGUUACAUUUAUUGGACAUAAAUGCAUAGGUUGAUCACGGUAGUGGGGUUACUUUAUACUUAUUCUUUAUUAUGUUAUGUUUUUCAGGUAAGGGUAAAGAUGCGCCGACGAAUGACAGGAGAAAUCCAUGAUUGUGUCACUGAGACUAAUCAGAUGCUUCCGCUCAUGUUUUCAUGUUUUCAAAUCUCAAAUUUGCAAUUGAAUUUAGAAAGUUUUUAGUUUUUGCGUUGUUGAUUGAUUUAGAUAAAAACAUUUUCUUGUGAUGCUUUAUUUUUUAUAAGGGUACCUUGAUUAAUGACUUCCUGUUAUAUAGUUUGAACAAAAGUUAUUUAUUUUAUAAUAUUUAUUUGGUUAUA